UACAGAGGUCUCAAGCGUUGUUCGGAUUCAUUGGGCGUAAAGGGUGCGUAGGUGGCGCCAUAAGUCGGGUGUGAAAUCUCGGGGCUUAACUCCGAAACUGCAUUCGAUACUGUGGUGCUCGAGGACUGGAGAGGAGACUGGAAUUCAUGGUGUAGCAGUGAAAUGCGUAGAGAUCAUGAGGAAGACCAGUGGCGAAGGCGGGUCUCUGGACAGUUCCUGACACUGAGGCACGAAGGCCAGGGGAGCAAACGGG
rnacentral:rRNA from 1 species